rnacentral:pre_miRNA from 1 species
CAGCGAGGGGCACCUCGUGGACUGUCUAACCUGAGAAUGGUGAAACAUCAGGGUCAAUCUCAGGUUCGUCAGCCCAUGAGAUGCUUUCUCCAG